GUUGAGGGUUGGCGUGGCGAUGCAACCACACUGACAACUUCAGUUUGAAAUGACACUUGACUGCAGCGUGUGGGACUCAACCUGCAUGGGAGCUUUGACGCGCAUUCAGCUGCUGACAUCAAUGAUGUUAUGGUGGACUGUGGGGAGGUCGAUUAACAAUUGACACUGGCCAAGGUGGUCCUCUGGUG